rnacentral:rRNA from 1 species
GAUUAUGGCUCAGGACGAACGCUGGCGGCGUGCUUAACACAUGCAAGUCGAACGAGUGUUGCGGAGAGCUUGCUCGAAGUAACGCGAGUGGCGGACGGGUGAGUAACGCGUGAACAAUCUGUCUCAUACAGGGGGAUAACGCAUCGAAAGAUGUGCUAAUACCGCGUAGGACCACGGGUUCGCAUGGGCCUGAGGUGAAAGACGAAAGUCGGUAUGAGGUGAGUUCGCGUCUGAUUAGAUAGUUGGUGAGGUAACGGCCCACCAAGUCAACGAUCAGUAGCCGACCUGAGAGGGUGAUCGGCCACAUUGGGACUGAGACACGGCCCAGACUCCUACGGGAGGCAGCAGUGGGGAAUAUUGGGCAAUGGGCGCAAAGCCUGACCCAGCAACGCCGCGUGAAGGAAGAAGGCCUUCGGGUUGUAAACUUCUUUUAACAGGGACGAAGAAGUGACGGUACCUGUUGAAUAAGCCACGGCUAACUACGUGCCAGCCGCUGC